rnacentral:rRNA from 1 species
AGUGAACGCUGGCGGCAGGCCUAAUACAUGCAAGUCGAACGGCAGCACAGCAGAGCUUGCUCUGUGGGUGGCGAGUGGCGGACGGGUGAGGAAUACAUGGGAAUCUGCCCAAUCGUGGGGGAUAACGUAGGGAAACUUACGCUAAUACCGCAUGCGCCCUUCGGGGGAAAGCCGGGAACCUUCGGGCCUGGCGCGAUUGGAUGAGCCCAUGUCGGAUUAGCUAGUUGGCGGGGUAAUGGCCCACCAAGGCGACGAUCCGUAGCUGGUCUGAGAGGAUGAUCAGCCACACUGGAACUGAGACACGGUCCAGACUCCUACGGGAGGCAGCAGUAGGGAAUAUUGGACAAUGGGCGCAAGCCUGAUCCAGCCAUGCCGCGUGAGUGAAGAAGGCCCUCGGGUUGUAAAGCUCUUUUGUCCGGAAAGAAAAGCAUCCAGUUAAUACCUGGGUGUCCUGACGGUACCGGAAGAAUAAGCACCGGCUAACUUCGUGCCAGCCGCCGCGGUAAAAC